CUGCUACAUUUCGAUCAUUAGCUUAUUAUUUAAUAACUUUGUCACCAGACCUCAUGGUGUCUUCUGUCAAUUCUAUACAACUCAUGUAAAAUUCUCCCCUAACAUACUAAUAUUUAUUACAAACAAUCCAUAAUAAAUACAAAUACCAAUUGUAAUCAUUGGAAUAAAACUACCCAAAAGAAUAUAUCAAAAGCUCUUUAAAGAUGUUACAAAAUUUAAUAUUUUACUAGACAAAAGUUUGAUUAUAACAAGAUAGGUGUAGUCGUGUGCAUCAAACUCAGGCUGCAUGAUUCUUCAAAACUUCUGGUCUUUCACCUGGGACAACAAACCCACUCCAUGCACAAACAAAAAAAACAAGUACCAUGGCAUUGAAAUGAACAAAUGCAGUCUCUGGAUGCCAUGUGAACGAGUUAGGCAAAUCAGAAAUGACAUUGACCAUUCUCCUUGUGCAUACUAUAUUACCAAAACCAAUCCAUAUCUAGACAUCAAAAGGAGAAAAAAGAUGUGCUUGUGUGUUUGUGUGAGUAAUCACUAAUGUAAAAAGUCAGCCAUAGGUUACUAAACAAGCAGAAUUUCAGAUGAUCAAUUAAGGGGAUGUUAAUUCCUAAGGACAGCCAACCAAAGGACACACAGGAGUGCAAGUCACAUAUUAAUGUUUUCGGUCACACAUUCAGCAGGAAAGGCAAUCAUUCAGGAGCAAUCUUAAAGGAGUAAUAAUCAACAUUAAGUGAACGGUUUCAAAAUUAGAGAAUCAAAAGACCAGUGCAACACAAACAUCCAGCUAUAAAAAGAGGGGCAUGACAAGGCAAAAAAGGAAACCAGAGAACAAGCUAUCAUAUACAGUUAUCAAAAAAGAGAACUCGGAAAUGAAGAGAACUCAGGAAGAGAUUACAACACAGAAUAGGAGAGCAUACUGAUCAGAGAAAGUAGACCAGAUUACAUAGAAGCAGGGUGACGUACAAAGCUUGUAACCAAUCAGAAAAAUCUACGCCUAUACCAACACACACAAAUAUCAGGCUACAUACACCUACAACAUAGGAAGGAGAGCAUACACUCAGGUAAGCAUUCAAUCCAUAAAAAUGUUUUAUGAAUAUACCCUGCUUUAAUCAAUCAUACACAUUGGUUUCAACAGAACAUAUAUCUACUUAAGUAAAAAACGAAAUAGAUGGAAACAGACGGUGCAUUGCCAUAACCUUAAAGCAGGAUAAUAUGAUUUAUGUCUAGCUUAGCUUUUAACCCAAACCUAUUCUUCACAUACAUAACACCGACCAUUUCACAGAAACACAUAUACAUAAACUGAUUGGGAGUGUAAGGCAAUCAUACAACAACUUUUCGAUUUGUUCCUAAAUAAAUUGGUAUUCAGCCUUAUUUUCAUAUGCAUAUCACCAAUUAAUUUAAGCACUAAAAGAUAAAUAAAUGACAAUAGAAGGGAGGUAUGAUACUUUACCAGUUCUCCUUGCCUCCACCACCUUCAAACUGUGAUCUAUGGCUUCAAUGAUCUCCUUCUUCACCGACACGGUGACCUUCACAUUUGGGGAUAUUAGAAAUCCCUUGAGCACCGCAACCUCGUCCAGAAACCCUGCAUACCUGAAAGACAUAGGAGAAGAUCAACACCUCCCGAAUCAGUCCUAACCCUUUCGGAAUAAUUAGUCGAAGAGAGUAACUGAAUCCCUACUUUACUUCGGUGGCCACCGUGAGAAUAGGAACCCCAAAUCGGAGACCAUCGCGAACCAAUUCACCAUACCGUCUUCAUUCUCCCUCGAUUCACCUACCGAAAAAACCAAAAAAGCAACCCAACACCAGAACCGGUCGAAAGAGAAGAACGAAAUGGAAGAAUGGGGAAGAAAAGGAGAGGAUGAAAGAGAUGGAAUAUGGCAAAUGAGAAGGGAUUAGGGAUUUCAUCCCCCUUUUUCCCUUCUCUGUUUCGAGAAUGGAGGAGUAAAAUGGGGUAUUACCCAUUUUAUUUUGUUUAACC
rnacentral:lncRNA from 1 species